AAACUGCGAAUGGCUCAUUAAAUCAGUUAUCGUUUAUUUGAUAGUACCUUACUACUUGGAUAACCGUGGUAAUUCUAGAGCUAAUACAUGCGAAAAACCCCGACUUCGGAAGGGGUGUAUUUAUUAGAUAAAAAACCAAUGCCCUUCGGGGCUUCCUGGUGAUUCAUAAUAACUUAACGAAUCGCAUGGCCUUGCGCCGGCGAUGGUUCAUUCAAAUUUCUGCCCUAUCAACUUUCGAUUGUAGAGUAGUGGUCUACAAUGGUUUCAACGGGUAACGGGGAAUUAGGGUUCGACUCCGGAGAGGGAGCCUGAGAAACGGCUACCACAUCCAAGGAAGGCAGCAGGCGCGCAAAUUACCCAAUCCCGACACGGGGAGGUAGUGACAAUAAAUACUGAUACAGGGCUCUUUUGGGUCUUGUAAUUGGAAUGAGUACAAUUUAAAUCCCUUAACGAGGAACAACUGGAGGGCAAGUCUGGUGCCAGCAGCCGCGGUAAUUCCAGCUCCAGAAGCGUAUAUUAAAGUUGUUGCAGUUAAAAAGCUCGUAGUUGAAUUUUGGGCCUGGCUGGCCGGUCCGCCUCACCGCGUGCACUGGUCCGGCCGGGCCUUUCCUCCUGGGGAUCCGCAUGCCCUUCACUGGGUGUGUUGGGGAACCAGGACUUUUACUUUGAAAAAAUUAGAGUGUUCAAAGCAGGCCUUUGCUCGAAUACAUUAGCAUGGAAUAAUAGAAUAGGACGGCUUUCCUAUUUUGUUGGUUUCUAGGGAAGCCGUAAUGAUUAAUAGGGAUAGUCGGGGGCAUCAGUAUUCAAUUGUCAGAGGUGAAAUUCUUGGAUUUAUUGAAGACUAACUACUGCGAAAGCAUUUGCCAAGGAUGUUUUCAUUAAUCAGUGAACGAAAGUUAGGGGAUCGAAGACGAUCAGAUACCGUCGUAGUCUUAACCAUAAACUAUGCCGACUAGGGAUCGGGCGAUGUUACUAUCUUGACUCGCUCGGCACCUUACGAGAAAUCAAAGUUUUUGGGUCUGG
rnacentral:rRNA from 1 species